AGAGUUUGAUCCUGGCUCAGGAUGAACGCUAAGGCUUAAUACAGCAAGUCGAACGGCAGCACGGGUAGCAAUACCUGGUGGCGAGUGGCGCACGGGUGCGUAACACGUAUGCAACUUACCCUUUACCGAGACAUAACCCAUCGAAAGGUGAGCUAAUAUCUCAUAAUAUUACAUUGAGGCAUCUCAGCGUAAAAGUUCCGGUGGUAAAGGAUAGGCAUGCGUCCCAUUAGCUAGUUGGUAGGGUAACGGCUUACCAAGGCGACGAUGGGUAGGGGUUCUGAGAGGAAAGUCCCCCACACUGGUACUGCUUACCAAGGCGACGAUGGGUAGGGGUUCUGAGAGGAAAGUCCCCCACACUGGUACUGCUUACCAAGGCGACGAUGGGUAGGGGUUCUGAGAGGAAAGUCCCCCACACUGGUACUGAACACGGACCAGACUCCUACGGGAGGCAGCAGUAAGGAAUAUUGGUCAAUGGGCGCAAGCCUGAACCAGCCAUGCCGCGUGCAGGAAGACGGCCUUAUGGGUUGUAAACUGCUUUUGUGAGGGAAAAAACUGGGGUACGUGUACCUCAUUGCUUGUACCUUACGAAUAAGCAUCGGCUAACUCCGUGCCAGCAGCCGCGGUAAUACGGAGGAUGCGAGCGUUAUCCGGAUUCAUUGGGUUUAAAGGGUGCGCAGGCGGACCAAUAAGUCAGUGGUGAAAUCCCAUAGCUUAACUAUGGAACUGCCAUUGAUACUGUUAGACUAGAGCGUAGAUGACGUACGCGGAAUGCGACAUGUAGCGGUGAAAUGCUUAGAUAUGUCGCAGAACACCGAUUGCGAAGGCAGCUUACGAAACUACAACUGACGCUCAUGCACGAAGGCGUGGGGAUCAAACAGGAUUAGAUACCCUGGUAGUCCACGCCCUAACGAUGAUUACUCGUUGUUGGCCUGUACAGGUCAGUGGCUAAGGAAACCGAUAGUAAUCCACCUGGGGAGUACGAUCGCAAGGUGAAACUCAAAGGAAUUGACGGGGGCCGCACAGCGAGAGCAUGUGUUAUCGAUGAUACGCGAGAC
rnacentral:rRNA from 1 species